GUGCCAGGCCGAACUGGAGAAACUCCAGUCACACUCCCAGCUGACGCUCUUGCCCCCCCGGUGGGGUUCUCCGACGCCGUGGCCUGAAGCAAAUCCAGCGCAGCAGCUCCGCGCACGGGAUGCCCUUGGGGAAGGAUGGCUCUGGGGCAGGCUGGCUGGGUGAAUCGAAAUGUCCCAGUGUCCCNCCUGCCAGUCCCAUAUCCACAGAGAACGGCGAAGGAGCUCUGUGUGUCCCAUUGGAAGAAAAGCUGAAAAGAGACAAUGAAGAGCUGCAGCUUGCUCUGGCCAAAGCAGAGACCCGGGCUCAGGAGAANGAGAAGGAAUUACGGAGUUUGCAAGGGCAGCUGGAGCUGACUCGGGCUGAGCUGGCACAGUGGAAGAAGCCACAGGGAGACCCAUUGGAAGGGUUGAGUAGUAGACCGGCAGGAGGCUAAAUCCAGCGCAGGGCCUUGUGUCAGUUGGNCCCAUCCGGGGAACUGACAUUGUCUCUGCUACGGUGGCCUGUUUGGGCCAUGCUUAAGCCGGGGGUCAGAUCAGAAAGAACUAUUGGUAGGUGAAGCAAAGUUAAGGAGGGGGGCGUUCUGUGCAGACCCACCAGAAAAGCCUCCCCCCCGACUGUUGGGGUUAUGGGUAGGACUUCUGCUCUCCCCCCGCCCCCGCAAGGAGCCCCACAGCACAGAGGGCUGUAAUGCUUUGCGUUCNCGAUGACAAAGCAAAGUUGGUUCCCUCUGCAUCGCCUGACAGAUUUAUGAAGCUCCGCGUCCUCCUCUGUCCCUUGGCCAAGCGAAAUGAUAAACCUUGUUAAUUAUCGCCUGCAUUCCUCGUGGGCAGGGGAAUUUAACGAGGCUGCGGCUCAUCAUCAGAAGUGCUGUUUUACAAGCUUCUUCCCGGGAACAGGUCACAGGCUUCUUGGCAGCAGCGGCGAUUUGGGGUCACGGCUGCCUCUGUGAGAAGCUGGCAGACGAGUAGCUGGAGGUGGCACGAAGGGAAAGGCGGCUGCCGCGUUGGCUGCCAUGUUGGGCGGACGGGCGUCAAACGUGGGCUCAGAGUUUCUGCCUGGACGGCGUGAUCCUGAGGAAUAGAGGAAGAGCCGUCUCUCAGCUUUCCCCUGUUAGUUGGGGGGAGCUUUGCAAGAGCUGAGCUGCUAAGGUGUCUUUGCAAGAGCUGAGCUGCUAAACCAUCCUGGCUGGCAAGAGCUUGGCAAGAGCUGAAUUGCUAAACUGUCCUGCCUCAGUUAGCUAGAGCUUUGCAAGAACUGAGCUGCUAAAGUGUCCUGUGUCAGCUCACAGGACCUUUGCAAGAGCAGAGCUGCUACACUUUCCUGGCUGGGCGGAGCUUUGCAAGAGCUGAGCUGCUAAACUGUCCUGUCCUGGCUGGGAGGAGUAACUGUGGCACCGUGGUAGAGCAACUGCCUAGAAAGCAGAGGGUCGUGGGUUCCAUUCCAGCCUCCCCUCUGAAGUUGACCACAUUGAUUUGUUAUUUGUACCACCUGAUUACGUGGGUACCAGUUCUGGAUUAUGAGUUCCUGGUUUUGNAAUUCCAUCUCAUUCUGUUCGCUCUUUUCCUUCUUCUCUUUCCUUUUUGUUUGGGACAUUGGACUGUAAUAAACCUUUGGUUUGAUUUGAUCUGCGAAACCCC
rnacentral:lncRNA from 1 species